GGCACAAAGAGGUUAAGUGCUUCACCUAAGGUCAUGCUCUAAUGCAUCGUUGUCCUUUUUCUCCACGGUGAGGGCUUAAAUCCCCCUGCCGGAAAAACUGCUCAGAACUGGUUUCUGACUCUGAGCACAUCUGAUUAAUCCCAUUCAUACAGACAAAAACUGAGAACUGGAAUUAUACUGUCAUCCUUCAGCUACCUAAAGCAGACUUCUUAAAUUGAAUUGUAGGACAUUUUAUUGCCUGCCUGUAGUAAUGAUAAUUAAUUAAAGACAUAUUAAUACUUCUCUAUGGGUCUAUCCAGUACAGAGAAACAUAAUUGUUGUGCAUCACAUCUACAUAGCAAAGUACAGGUCAAAUACAAGCAGCAGGGAGCUUCUAGUCUUAUGGUGGCUAGAAGCUCCCUGUUGCCUGUAUUUGGAUUUUUUAGGGAGAUGAGUUGCAUUCCUGAACAUAGCAGCACUUUGUUUCUGUAUUGAUUAAACUUUUACAUACACAGUAAUCUUUCAAAAUUUGUCAUUCCUCUCCUUUUUCUUAGCCCCAUAGUUUCAGGAAAUGGCUGUCAUCACCAUUUUGAUGAUGAGAGCAAAUGGCUGAAAUGACAGAAACGUCAUUCUGUUUGCAAACAAGAUAAAAAGAAGCCUGAAACUCAAAAGCACUUUCAACCAUCAAGUGGAGAACCUUGUCAUCAGAUCAAGAUUCGAUGGUCCCCCAGCUUCAUGUAGUUGAGAGCCACGCUGGGAGGGUAAAACCAACACAGGGGAAACAGAAGAGUUUUCAGUGCACAGGCGGAUCUGCACAUCUUUAUGAGAAAGUACCGAGCAAAUUCUCCAAGGCCAAGUGUCCAGAGCACAUACUGCAAGUUGCUGGGUACCCUUUGGGACACAAGGCACCAGACCACAGCUCUCCACAGUGUCAUCAUCCUUGUAGACAACAAACUGGAUACAAAUGGCCAGUGAUAGGAGGAUCAGAGACAAGGGACAAAAGCAAGGACAAAUUUUGGAUGAAGUUGUAUUGAUUUGUUGAAAGUGGCAAUAAGGGAAAGGUAAGAGAUUUUGGAAAGCUGUGAAUGUGCAUGACUUGGGCAAUAUGUAUUUAGGAGCAGGGUUGAAACUG
rnacentral:lncRNA from 1 species